rnacentral:piRNA from 1 species
ACACAGGAUGAAGACAAGAAACAUGCCG